UACGUAGGGGCCUAGCGUUGUCCGGAUUUAUUGGGCGUAAAGAGCUCGUAGGCGGUUCGGCAAGUCGGAUGUGAAAUCUCCACGCUUAACGUGGAGGGGCCAUUCGAAACUGCCGUGACUCGAGUCCGGUAGGGGAGUGUGGAAUUCCGUGUGAGCGGUGAAAUGCGCAGAUAUCAGGAAGAACACCUAUGGCGAAGGCAGCUCUCUGGGACGGUACUGACGCUGAGACGCGAAAGCGUGGGGAGCGAACAGG
rnacentral:rRNA from 1 species